GGUUAUCUGGUCUGUGGUAUUUGCUUUAAUUAUGUUUUCUUUGAGUUGCAAUACUGUGGCAAACGUGUGAAGGUCAGGAGGCUAACAUAGUUUGGUUUUCUUGUUCACUUUCCUUCACAAUUUGAAGGUUAUGUGGUCUGUUACACUUGAUUUAAUAAAGUUUUCUUUGUUUUGCAAUUCUGUGGCAAACAUGUUAAGGUUAGAAAGCUAACUUUGUCUUUGUUUCAGCCAAGAUGCCUACAGCAGUGCCUACUUUUACCCUCAAAGUGAAGGAUAAGCCAACCAAAAUUCUUGUCACCAAACCUACCAUUGACGAUAUCAUCAACAGAGCCAUUGAGAGGCUUGAGGUUGAGCCAGGGGAGUUCAAGUUAGUUCUGGACAAUGGAGCAAUUUUGGAGGACGACGAAGUGCUGACACAUCUCCCUCCUUUGACUGAGCUAACUCUAGUUCCAAAGACUGGGGAAUGGAUGGACACCAAUGAAAACGUGAUUAAUGUUACUCCGAACAUUACCGUUGCUUCUCAACGCCAUUCAUCACCAUCAGUUUCCACUCCUCGUCUCUCAAAUGCUAGAGGCAAUUUUCCAUGGAGAGUACUUGAUGAUUUUAAGGAACAUCUCGAGUCAGGAUGCAUUGAUCUUCGUCAGAGAAAAUCAAUCCUUCACAACCUUGCUGCUCACAUGUCAGCUAGGAAUGAUUUCUCCAGAAAAACCUGUGUAUCAUUAACUAAUGAUCUUUUUGAGAAGUAUCCCAAACCAUUCGAGAUUAGAGAUGCUGAUGGUGACUUACUUAGUGAUGGCAAAGCAUCAUUCUUUAACAGCCUCUAUGAGCGAGUAAACUUCAUUAAGCCUCAAGCAAAGAAAAACAAAAGAAAAAGGAAUGAAGCUGAAGAUGAGGAUGAAGAUGAUCCGAAGUGGCCUCACAUAUGUAAUGACAAACUCGACUCUUAUGGAUGUGCUGCGUGGCAACCGCAUUUACCUGCUAAUGAAAAUGAAGCUACCCUAGAGAGACUGAGGACACAAUUGGCGGAUACUUCUUCUGAAACUGAACUUCUGGAGUUGCUGGAGAAGUCAUAUUGGCUCCAGCGCCACCAGAUUAAUUUCAGAAAAGGAGAUAUACACAGUGUGUUGUCAAAGUGGCCCGCCCUUCAAUCUCCUAAUCCUUUCCAGGCACACAGCACUAUGCUGUUGGGAAAGGAUGUAAGGACGCUGUGGGCUGGCUCCCACAAUCGGCUUUUAAGUCUUUAUAAUUUUUUAGCUGACUAUUGCACGUCUACAAAUCAAACUUCUAGCAAUCGGGAAACUUUAUCUGAAAUCAAAGUAGUGAGAGAGGAGGCCGAAGCGUCUUCAAGACUUAUGGAUAGCCGGAAACCAUUCUUGAUAGCAGCAUUUAUUAUGUUGGUCCAAUACUUAAAAGAAGAUUUAAAUUGCCUAUUUAAAUUGGUUGAUUGCGGAACCAAUGUUGAAGAAGUCAAACCCAUGGCUGAAGUGGACCGGCCGCUCCUCAUAAUCAGAGGACAGUCAUGGUUUGACUCCAAUUGUAUGUGCUUCAUUGCCUGUGAGGGGGACAUCAUAACUAGUACAAACAAUGCUCUAGAAGCCUUCAAGCUGCUAUUUUUAUCCUACUACAAUUUUAACUACCACUAUCCAGAAAAGGGAAGAAGGUUUCUAGAGUAUAUGCAAAGGGCCAUCUUUAAAAUAAAUCCUGUGCAAGGUACCAGGAAGGCACCAGGUGAUAAGCGAAGAGCGACUAAUAGCGUGGACCCAAUGGUUAAAAAGACCAUAGCUAAAGUUGAUAGUUUUUAUGUGAAAAUGAUGAACAUGACAAGGAUGCAUGUUAUGGAUGACAGUUAGUUUAGAGCACUAAUGAGUUUCUUUUAUUUUGCUUGUGAUUCCUUUUUUAACCUGACACAAAAUAUUGUGUAGAAUGUCUGCAAAGGGAUUCUUACCCAACCUGACUGAUCCAGGUUGUUAGAAUGCAUCCGUGCGUCCUAUUAAUGAUUUCUCCAAUAAUUUUUUAUUGUGCAAUAACUAUAUUUUAAAACGAGACUUGUUAUUGAGCAUCAACUUUUUAUUGAGUAGCAAUGUUCUAUUUUGCUUUGUGUGUGCUGGGUAUACGUUUGAAAUCAAAUUAUGCAACACAAAGGUUUUUUAUCUUCUCUUUAUUUAUUCUGUAUUGUUUACAGGACUUCCAAAGCUGUUAAAUCAUGUACAAAAUUAUUGAGAUCCCUUGAAAACCAAUUUUCAAUAAAACUGAAAUUUUAUCUACAAGUUUUUUUCUUUUCAUACAUUUUCUUCUGGAUGAUUCAGGACGACCCACACCUUCGCUAAUGGAAACAAAGGGCAUAACAAUCUACACAAACUUUUGAGUCAUAACUGCAGCGUGUGCAUAGGGGAAUGACCACAGGCAGAUGGGCUUUGGCCAACACUAUUCUAUGUGCAAAAGGCUACAUCAGCCUAGCAAAAUUUCCACAACUAUGUGAUAUUUACCCUAUACAUCUGUGUUGCACGAGCUCAACACUUGUCGAGCAAAAGUACCACACGCGUAUGGGAUUUACACCUCACAGUCGUACAGAAAAAAUCCCAUACGCGUGCAGCAGAUCUGCAAGACGGGGGUAGGAUUUUUCCCAUACGACUGUGUGGGAAAAGUCCCAUACGUGUGUAGCAGAUCUACCACACGCGUAUGGGAUUUUUCCCACACAGUCGUGUGGGGAAAAUCCCACA